rnacentral:rRNA from 1 species
UGAAUGGCAUAACAAGGGCUUAGCUGUCUCCUUUCCCCAGUCAGUGAAAUUGAUCUCCCCGUGCAGAAGCGGGGAUGAAUACAUAAGACGAGAAGACCCUAUGGAGCUUUAGACACUACGGUCGAUCAUGUCAAUAAACCCUUAUAAAGGACAAAACAGAAUGAAUCCCUCCGAAUUGUCUUUGGUUGGGGCGACCGCGGGGAACCAGAAAACCCCCAUGUGGAAUGGGAGCACCCCUCCUACAGAUGAGAGUGACAACUCCAAUAAACAGAAUUUCUGACCAAAAAGAUCCGGCAAAGCCGAUCGACGGACCGAGUUACCCUAGGGAUAACAGCGCAAUCCUCUUCUAGAGCCCAUAUCGACAAGAGGGUUUACGACCUCGAUGUUGGAUCAGGACAUCCUAAUGGUGCAGCCGCUAUUAAGGGUUCGUUU